GUGAAAUUGAACUCGCUGUGAAGAUGCAGUGUACCCGCGGCAAGACGGAAAGACCCCGUGAACCUUUACUAUAGCUUGACACUGAACAUUGAGCCUUGAUGUGUAGGAUAGGUGGGAGGCUUUGAAGUGUGGACGCCAGUCUGCAUGGAGCCGACCUUGAAAUACCACCCUUUAAUGUUUGAUGUUCUAACGUGGACCCGUAAUCCGGGUUGCGGACAGUGUCUGGUGGGUAGUUUGACUGGGGCGGUCUCCUCC
rnacentral:rRNA from 1 species